AGUGAAUUUUGAUCCAUUGAGUAUUAGUUUACUCUCUAGGUUUAACUAGUUUGUGCUAUGAAAACUCUAUCUCCUUUAUGAUAAUUGGUUCAUUAAGUCAUGUGUCUAUUUAGGAGGGAAAUUCUUUUGUUUAGUCAGACUUUACUUAUAUUUUGAACUGAUUGGAGCUGUGCUGUUCCUUAUAUAAUUUUAUUCAAAUUUGGUGGACAUCUUUGAUUUUUUUUCAAAUAAGGAAAUUUCUAUUAGUAAAUGAAUCAAAUGAAGAAUCUUCAUGGUUAAAUGCAUAGAAAGGAUAUUUGAAGAGAGCCAAUGAUUGACAUAAGGAGAAGCAGUUAUGAAUUUUGAAAUUGAUAUAAAGGAGAGGUCAUUCAUCACAGAAGAUUUAAUCAAAGUUUACAGUAUGUUGAGAGAAGUUCAGAACAAGCAAUUUGGUUGAAGAGGAGUUGUCAACAAGUCAUCUUUGAAUAAGGUCAAUUGUAUCAGAAGUGAAUCCUUAACAGAAAUGAGACAAUAAUCAAAUAAUUCAAAGACUACAUGGAUGUUAUCUGGACUAGCAUUUGUAUGACCUAAAUGUGGUAUUUUUCAUAUGAACACUUACAAGGCCAUAAUAGCCUGUGACAAACAUUUGUAUGCUAUUAAAGACUUGAAGAACUUGUACGGUAUUCUUCAGAUUUCAGUAGAAUUUGUUUAAAACGGUACAUUCUUGGUAUGAAUUGAAGAAAUUUUGCUCAUUUAAAUGAAUUAUGAAAAUGUUUUAUAUGUUUAGAAUAAACAAAAACAACAUAAAAGAUAGACAAAUUUUUAUUUUCUUUCUUGAAACUUAUAACAGAAUAAAUUGUCAUAUGCUAA